rnacentral:rRNA from 1 species
CAAAGCCUCGGGGGGCAGCAGUGGGGAAUAUUGCACAAUGGGGGAAACCCUGAUGCAGCGACGCCGCGUGAGUGAAGAAGUAUUUCGGUAUGUAAAGCUCUAUCAGCAGGGAAGAAAAUGACGGUACCUGACUAAGAAGCCCCGGCUAACUACGUGCCAGCAGCCGCGGUAAUACGUAGGGGGCAAGCGUUAUCCGGAUUUACUGGGUGUAAAGGGAGCGUAGACGGCAGAGCAAGUCUGAAGUGAAAGCCCGCGGCCCAACUGCGGGACGGCUUUGGAAACUGCCCGGCUGGAGGGCUGGAGAG